rnacentral:rRNA from 1 species
GGUGAGUAACACGUAGGUAACCUGCCCCGGAGCGGGGGAUAACAUUUGGAAACAGAUGCUAAUACCGCAUAACAACAAAAGCCACAUGGCUUUUGUUUGAAAGAUGGCUUUGGCUAUCGCUCUGGGAUGGACCUGCGGUGCAUUAGCUAGUUGGUAAGGUAACGGCUUACCAAGGCGAUGAUGCAUAGCCGAGUUGAGAGACUGAUCGGCCACAAUGGAACUGAGACACGGUCCAUA